rnacentral:rRNA from 1 species
ACGAAGGGGACUAGCGUUGUUCGGAAUCACUGGGCGUAAAGAGCGAGUAGGUGGUAGAAUAAGUCAGAUGUGAAAUCCUUAAUCUUAAGUUAAGAAUGGCAUUUGAAACUGUGAUACUAGAGGACAGAAGGGGAUAGUGGAAUUCCCAGUGUAGGAGUGAAAUCCGUAGAUAUUGGGAGGAACACCGAUGGCGUAGGCAGGGUACUGGGCUGUUGCUGACACUAAGGCACGAAAGCGUGGGGAGCGAACGGGA